GACGAACGCUGGCGGCGUGCUUAACACAUGCAAGUCGAACGGAAAGGCCCUGCUUUUGUGGGGUGCUCGAGUGGCGAACGGGUGAGUAACACGUGAGUAACCUGCCCUUGACUUUGGGAUAACUUCAGGAAACUGGGGCUAAUACCGGAUAGGAGCUCCUGCUGCAUGGUGGGGGUUGGAAAGUUUCGGCGGUUGGGGCUGGACUCGCGGCUUAUCAGCUUGUUGGUGGGGUAGUGGCUUACCAAGGCUUUGGCGGGUAGGCGGCCUGAGAGGGUGACCGGCCACAUUGGGACUGCGAUACGGCCCAGACUCCUACGGGAGGCAGCAGUGGGGAAUAUUGCACAAUGGGCGGAAGCCUGAUGCAGCAACGCCGCGUGCGGGAUGACGGCCUUCGGGUUGUAAACCGCUUUCGCCUGUGACGAAGCGUGAGUGACGGUAAUGGGUAAAGAAGCACCGGCUAACUACGUG
rnacentral:rRNA from 1 species